GAAUUGUGUGGUCUCAAAAGCCUGCAGAGAGACCAUAUUUUGCUUGGAAAUUUGACAUGGGGGCCUCCAGGGACAAUGCAGAGGGAGGAGACUUGGAGGAGGAUGAGAAAACACUCUUGUGAUUUGAAGUCUUGGCCUCUUGGAUCAGCCGUGUGUCGCUGUGGCACCUUUGGAUUUCUCUACAAAAAAAGGUUGGACAGCGCAUCACUCCUGUUCCCCAGCAGCUCGUAUCUAAAGCCCAUCGUGCGUCUGCUCCAGGGUCCGUCGCUCUGGAGGCUGGUCUGGAGGUAGAUGGCCGGCCGGUGCGGUCCAUCCGCGCGGAAACAGAACACCUGCCGC